CUCAUGUCACGGGAUCUCGUCACAUCCCAAAUAAGUAAUUCCUAGUAUAUUUCAAGUGUGCUUCAAAAAGUAAGUCUGUUCCCAGUGUGUUACCAACCUUAGGCUAACUCCAGAUACCUUCAAUGUGAUUUAUUUUCAAUGGCAAAAGUAAUGUGUAAACCGAAGCUCUUCAAAAGAAAGUAAUUUGCUUCCUGUGUGAGAGAAGUGCCAUAACUGUGUGAGUGUGACAUGUUUGAAGUGUGGAUAUGGGUGGGUGUGCACCCAGCAGGUGGGCAGAAAAGGAAGAAUGCUGAGAAAGGCAGGACAGUAGAGGGAGGGAGACGCCAUCCACAGGGCACACAAACCACAGGUCUGAGCUGCUAAUGGACAGCGAGCAGCCCUGCACUGGUCCACAACUACAAAAGUAAACACUUCUUCCACAUUGAGAAGGUUCUCGGGGGGUGCUGGAGCCUAUCUCAACUGCAUUCGGGCGAAAGGCGGGUACACCCUGGUCAAGUCGCCACCUCAUCACAGGGCCAACACAGAUAGACAACAUUCACACAAUGGCCAAUUUAGUGUUGCCAAGAGAAGUAAUGGAUUAUUGAUUCUUUGUUUUCCAAAGAAGAGUAUACAAAAAUCACAAUGCCCUAAUAUGAAUGCCAAGAUCAUGUAAAGCUGGAAAAUGUAACAUGACAAAGUUACAAAAAUGUGGCCGCCAUAAUCAA